CAGUAGCCGCGGUAAAACGUAGGUGGCAAGCGUUGUCCGGAAUUAUUGGGCGUAAAGGGCUCGCAGGCGGUUUCUUAAGUCUGAUGUGAAAGCCCCCGGCUCAACCGGGGAGGGUCAUUGGAAACUGGGAAACUUGAGUGCAGAAGAGGAGAGUGGAAUUCCACGUGUAGCGGUGAAAUGCGUAGAGAUGUGGAGGAACACCAGUGGCGAAGGCGACUCUCUGGUCUGUAACUGACGCUGAGGAGCGAAAGCGUGGGGAGCGAACAGGAUUAGAUACCCCCCGUAGUCCCUGUCUCUUAUA
rnacentral:rRNA from 1 species